rnacentral:rRNA from 1 species
UACCAGACUCCUACGGGAGGCAGCAGUGGGGAAUAUUGCACAAUGGGGGAAACCCUGAUGCAGCGACGCCGCGUGAGUGAAGAAGUAUUUCGGUAUGUAAAGCUCUAUCAGCAGGGAAGAAAAUGACGGUACCUGACUAAGAAGCCCCGGCUAACUACGUGCCAGCAGCCGCGGUAAUACGUAGGGGGCAAGCGUUAUCCGGAUUUACUGGGUGUAAAGGGAGCGUAGACGGCAUGGCAAGUCAGAUGUGAAAGCCCGGGGCUCAACCCCGGGACUGCAUUUGAAACUGUCAGGCUGGAGUGCAGGAGAGGUAAGUGGAAUUCCUAGUGUAGCGGUGAAAUGCGUAGAUAUUAGGAGGAACACCAGUGGCGAAGGCGGCUUACUGGACUGUAACUGACGUUGAGGCUCGAAAGCGUGGGGAGCAGACAGGAUUAGAUACCCUUGUAU